rnacentral:lncRNA from 10 species
GACGCGUCUUGCUGGGAGAGUGUCCGUUGCUUCCCGUCCGUGUCGCGGCCCUGCGGUUGGCGGCCUCCUCGUGGAGCGGAGCAAGGGUAGGCCCCACGUGGCGUCUUUGCCCGGCUCCAAGAUGGACGGCAGCGGGGACUGGGAGGCUGCUCUGGGGGAGCACGUGGCGCCCUGCUCGCCUGCUCCCGGGGCAGCUGGGAUGGUGGCGGAGUCCGGAGGCCUCCUGCCGCCGUCGGGCAGGGAGGCCGGCGGAGGCGGGGCCGUGGCCGCCCCCGAGAGGCGCCCAGGCGGCGGCGGCGGCGGCCCAGCUUCUUCUUUCCUCGCACAGCCAGGCGGCCCCUGCUCGAGUCCCGCGUCGCCAUGGCCGCGGUUCCCGAGUUGCUGCAGCAGCAGGAGGAGGACCGCAGCAAGAACCAGAGACGCGGGACCUUAGCCCCAGCUCAGGCGCCGGUGCCGAGCGGACUUGGAGAGAUGAUCUCUGGAGACCCCGGAAUGUUCUUUUUAAAACUUUCCUCGGCUUCGUGGUGACCAGUAGGUGAACGUGAAAUUGACUUAACAUGCGACAGACCAGUUUGGUUUGUUGCCCCCAAAAUACCCUCCUUCCCCCCACCUUUUACUGAGAAGACUUUUUUGGGGGGGGGGCCCAAACAACUUGGGAAAUUGCAUCAAGCGUCCGAACAUGCUGCUUACAACUUUAGAAACGCAAAAUGCGUUGUUGUGGGAGUUGUGUAAUUUUUAGUAGGUGCUCAAAUACUUGCUGAACUUGGUGUCUAUUUUUAAGUCUUGCCCAUUGAUGUAAACUGUCCCUAGGUCACGUGUAUCUUGAGGUCUAAAAGAUUAUUUAUGCAAUAAAUUGAAAUUCCCAUAGCCAAUUAAAGAUUCAGA